UACGUAGGUGGCGAGCGUUGUCCGGAUUUACUGGGCGUAAAGGGAGCGUAGGCGGACUUUUAAGUGAGAUGUGAAAUACCCGGGCUCAACUUGGGUGCUGCAUUUCAAACUGAAAGUCUAGAGUGCAGGAGAGGAGAAUGGAAUUCCUAGUGUAGCGGUGAAAUGCGUAGAGAUUAGGAAGAACACCAGUGGCGAAGGCGAUUCUCUGGACUGUAACUGACGCUGAGGCUCGAAAGCGUGGGGAGCAAACAGGAUUAGAUACCCGUGUA
rnacentral:rRNA from 1 species